rnacentral:lncRNA from 1 species
CUCGCCCAGCGCCCUCCCGGCCCGCGGAGCUCGCGUGUCCCCGCUCGGUGGCAGCGGCGUCUCCCAGUCCGGCACGCGGGUGCCCGCCGUGCCCCCGUCCGCAGCCCCCUGCCCCUCGGGGCGGCCGGGGAGCCCUCUUACCUUUCCGAGUCCUCCGCCGCGGGUGUGGCCGGCUCGGCGGGCGGCCCCGGGCCAGGGCCGAGGGGCGAGGGGCGGGGGCGCGGGGCUGGGGGGGAGCAGCAGGGUGAGGGCUGGGGGUGCUGGCACGGUGCCCAGGGGGGGCGAGGGGGCAGCGGGCAGCCCCAGGGCCCGCGGGCGAACACGGCCGAGCCGGAGGAGGGGCGCGGAGAGCGGGGCCGAGGAGGGGCGCCGGGGCCCGGGGCGGGGGGCGGGGAGCUCCAGCCUGCGGGACCGGCCCGGGAGCCAGGCGAGGCGCGGAAGGGAGGCCUCGCGCUUGGGGAAGCCGAGGACCCGUCGCGCGGAUCCCUUCGGCUGACAAAUCAAUCAGGGCCAGCCGAGCCGGGGCACUGCCGCCGUCGCUGCGGGGCUCGGGACUCCCCGGCCCGGCCCGCGCCGCCAGCUGCCGGCCGCCUCGGGUCCGCACGGGCCGGCGUCGCGGGCGGGGCGGCGGUCAUCCGGCUGCGGGCGCGUGCGGCCCGGGCGGGGGCGGGGGCGGGGGCCCGCGCGGCGCCGCAUCCUGGCCUCUCCUCCCCCGCCCGCCGCCCGCCCGCGCCCGCCGCGCGCUCCCCCCGCACUGUCACUAGCUCGGGCAGUUCCGUCGGUCCGUCUCUGCCCGCCUCCCCGUGUGUCUCUCCAUCUCCCGGUCUCUGUCGCGUUUCUCUGUCUACCUUCCUCUCCCAGUCCCUCCCGCUGUCCCCAGCUCUCUUGCUCGCGGCGCCUGUUUUCUCUGCCUCCGUGGUGCUGAUUCUCUUACCCUCUCUCCUCGGUCGUUCUCACCAUUAUCACCCACACUCUCUUCUUUCUUUCUGCCUCCCCUCACUCUCCACCCCUCCUUGCUCCCGAUGCUCAGGAGGACUAUGUAUCUCUCCCGCCUUGAAGCAGCAGCCCCAGCCUCGGAAUCAGAACUUAGUCCAUUUCUCUACUCUGAGACCUCGGACCAGUCACUUCCUCCCUCCCAGCUGCAGUUUCCGUGUCUGA